UUCGCUUACACAGCACUCCACGUUCAUUCCAAUUUGUUUUUUCUUUCACUCAAAAAAACGGAUUUGCGCCGCAUCUCGUGCCUGUGUUUCCCCCAAUCGUCCAAAUGAACCGAUCUGUGGACCACCGUGUCGUUUAGAAUGCCCCAGAGCCCGUGAAUUGCAUUUCUGGCAUUGCCCCCCACCACUGGUCAUUUUGACGUCGCAAGAAAAUGGCUGAUCUCUUUGCAAAAGUCUCUUGUACUUAUUGCGAGGAAGAAAUCACGGGAAUUCGGGUCCAAUGCUGCGUUUGCCAGGACUUCGACAUUUGCUUGCAGUGUUUUUCAACGGGGGCUGAAAUCGGGACGCAUAAAAACGAUCAUGCGUAUAAAUUUGUGGAACACUGGUCGGUUAGUAUUUUUGGGGGAAAGGGGAAUUGGACUGGAGGUGAGGAAUUGCAAUUGUUGGAUGCUGUGGAGUUGUAUGGGUUUGGGAAUUGGGAGUUGGUGAGCCAACAUGUUGAAACACGGACCCCUGAAGAAGUGAGAGAUGAAUAUAUUUCGCGUUAUUUGGACGGUAAUAUUGGAAAAGCCACUUGGGCUGAAUCGAGAGACCGUCAACCGAUGUUGAUUGAUCAUGUACCUGAAGAUAAUGGACCAUUAUCGCCUGCAGUGAUUGCAAGGUUGCCACCUUUAGAUAUAACUCUAGAAGAAGCUCAAUUGUUAGGGUAUAAACCACAUAGGGACGAUUUUGAACGGGAAUAUGAUAUGCCAGCUGAACAACUGGUUUCAACUUUACAAUUAGACACAGCUGAAGACACCGAAGUCGAAGUAGCGCUAAAAUUAUCAAUGGUUGAUAUGUACACUAGGAGAUUAAGAGAAAGAGCGAAACGAAAACGAAUCGUUCGCGACUACCAAUUGGUUGCAAAAUUUUUCUCAAACCAAAGAAAAGAUUCAAAUAAGAGACCUCUAACAAAAGAGCAAAGAGAACUUAGGGAAAACAUGAAAGUCUUUAGUCAGUUUUUAACAUCAAACGAACAUGAACAACUAAUCAAUAACCUUGAAAGAGAGAAAGAGUUACGUCACCGUUUAUCCGAAUUGUAUAGAUAUAGAAGUUUAGGUUUAACAACACAAGAGGAAGUGAUACAUCAAGAACAACACAUGGCGUAUCAGAAACAACAACAAAUGAAACAGAGCAAGUCUGCUAGACUCAAACGAAACAAAUAUGUAAACAGAAACAGAUUGUAUCAGUUUGCAUUUCACUUAGGGCAGCAGUGGCUAUCAAAUAUCAGUUCCGGAGGUGCAGUCAAAAAACGGAAAAAGCGAAGAAAACCAAAAUUUAUCCGAAAAAAAAUUCACGUGGUCCGAAGAGCAAAACAACUCGAACUCGGAUAAUGUAAGACCGCCGUCACCUAAUGCCUUACCGUUAGGAUCCUUAUUGUCCCAACAUGAAAUACAGCUUUGCAAGACUUUAAAUUUGCAACCCGUCCAAUACACCACACUGAAAUCGCUUAUUAUUCAGGAAAAUCUCUUGUCUCCGAAUCGACACCGUACCGUUGAAAUUGAUAAAAAUUCGUCUGAAGUUAGUGUUAAAGAUGUUGUUACGCAAUAUCUUAGUCACAGUGGCUGGCUUCCAGGGGUUUCUGUUGUCUGAUCUUUGAUUAUGUAAAAUUGGAAUUAAUUUUUGUUUGUCACGAUAUUUUAGUUAGCUGGGUUAACACUGAUGGGUUAGUGUCUUUUUUAGUGUAAUCGACACUUAAAAAUUGUUGUAGUGGCAUAAUUGUAUGUUCCUUUAUCAUGUAUUCGGAAGUAAAAUUACCGUUGGGGGCGCCACUGAGCUAGGUCGAAAA